rnacentral:lncRNA from 1 species
AUGACCCCUAUUGAGGUUGGUUAACAUUAAAAUAUUUAUCUCUGAAGGGAACACAAAUGAAAAUAUCUCAGAGAGGAGUGAGAGGAGACAUCAGGGUACCAGGAGCCGGAAUCUCAACCAUCUGGAAUCCUACUGAGACUUGGCGGCCCGUUCCAGAGUUUCAGAAAAACUGCAGCACAGGCUGAAGAUUCAGGUGGCUGAUGUGCAGGAGCAGAGCAUGGGAGACCCCGCAACCAAAUGCAGCUCCGGAACUCUGCGGCACACCUGGCCACAUCUCCAUCCUGAAGGACAGUAUGCUUCUUUGCGAGAAUGAUGCUAUCAUAGCUAAGAGCAGAGAGCUGAUCUUGGAGAUUGCAAUUUCCAGGCGAAGUUCAUCCCUCAUCCAGUCUCACGCAAUUCCAGUAUUUUUCAAUCUAUGGAAUGAAUAAUAAAUUUAACUACCACCU